GCUUACGGCCACACCACCCUGAGCGCGCCCGAUUCUCGUCUGAUCUCGGAAGCUAAGCAGGGUCGGGCCUGGUUAGUACUUGGAUGGGAGACCGCCUGGGAAUACCAGGUGCCGUAAGCU
rnacentral:rRNA from 1 species